rnacentral:lncRNA from 1 species
CGUUGUAUCCUGCUGCCUCAUUUUGUGUGCAAUUUACAAUUGUUAUGAAUCUUUUCGUAGAACAUUUAUCUGCUGACUGUUUAAUACUAAACCGUCAUUCUGAUCUUCCUAAUCUAUAUUUACAGGAUGUUGUUAUGAAAUAUAUGUGAGAGCUGUUAUGCGAGAAGAAGCAAGGAAGAAUGAAGAAGGAAGUGCAUAAUGGCAGAUUGUUCUGUUUUUGCAUAUUUUCACUGCUUUUAUUGUUCGAAACGUGGGGGAAAUGGAUAAUGAAGGAUGGGAUCUCUAAGUACAUGAAACUCGUGUUUUAACUUUUGUUUGGGGUUGGUCGUAUGAAAAUAAGGUGGUUCCAAACAGUUGAGGCUGCAUGUCAACGCCAAGUACUUUGCAUGCAAAUUUUGGUUUUAUUUGAACUUUAUGUUUGAAUGCUCUAGAGUGUAUGUGAUGCCUGGUGAGAUUUUCUCACCUUAUAUGGUGCUUUCACUUCUACGUAAUGCGACUAAUACAAAAGAUGGACCUUCAGAUCGUGUAAGUAAUGUUUGUUUUUGUGUGAACAAAGCAACCGUGUAUAAGGGGAUGGAAAAUAAUGUGUAGGGUGAAGGAAUUGCAUUUGUUUAUCUACAUAAUCUAUUUCUCUUGCAAGAGAGUAGUCUAUUUUGCUAUUUGUAUUUUCAAUCACAUCUUUGCUAGUGGAUGAUGCUUAAUCCAUGCUAUAGUUCUGUAGGGAGAUUAAAUGAGAUUGGUUCCCAAUCAAGUAAAAUACAACCUCUUUCUUUAUUAAUCUUAUCUACAAUGGGGUUAUUUCCUGUAAGGAAACUAGAGAAAAUGAGAAAUAAUGUAGAUAU